UUAGAUUAAAGCCAAUGCGGAGCUCUUUCGGGGGCUUUGGAUAAUAUGGUGAAUCAUGAUAACUUUGCGAAUCGCAUGGUCUUGCACCGGCGAUGUUUCAUUCAAAUUUCUGCCCUAUCAACUUUCGAUGGUAGUAUAGAGGACUACCAUGGUGGUAACGGGUAACGGAGGAUCAGGGUUUGAUUCCGGAGAAGGAGCCUGAGAAACGGCUACUACUUCCAAGGAAGGCAGCAGGCGCGCAAAUUACCCAAUCCCGACACGGGGAGGUAGUGACAAAAAAUAACAAUAUCGGUCUUUUAUAAGUCUGAUAAUUGGAAUGAGUACAAUCUAAACCCCUUAACGAGUAUCAAUUGGAGGGCAAGUCUGGUGCCAGCAGCCGCGGUAAUUCCAGCUCCAAUAGCAUAUAUUAAAGUUGUUGCAGUUAAAAAGCUCGUAGUUGGAUUUUGGAAUUUGGGAAGSACGGUCCGCCGGAUUCGGUGUGUACYGGUUUUCCGGUUCUCCCUACGGKAUACYCGCUACUGCACWUAAUUGAKUGRWAGUUUUCCKUGCCWAAAGGUGGGAUASGAAAGGAGGCUC
rnacentral:rRNA from 1 species